rnacentral:rRNA from 1 species
UACGUAGGGUGCGAGCGUUGUCCGGAUUUAUUGGGCGUAAAGGGUGCGUAGGUGGCGCUGUAAGUCGGGUGUGAAAUUUCGGAGCUUAACUCCGAAACUGCAUUCGAUACUGCGGUGCUUGAGGACUGGAGAGGAGACUGGAAUUCAUGGUGUAGCAGUGAAAUGCGUAGAUAUCGUAAGGAAGACCAGUGGCGAAGGCGGGUCUCUGGACAGUUCCUGACGCUGAGGCACGAAGGCCAGGGGAGCAAACGGG